rnacentral:lncRNA from 7 species
AUUGAGUCCCAUUGGGUCCCAUUGAAUCCCAUUGAAUCCCAUUGGGUCCCAUUGGGAUCCCUGACCCCAACCCCCCCCCAAACUGAGACUCCCCCCCAAAAAACCCCAUAAACCCCAAUGGGUCCUGCAAAAAACCCCAUAAAGCCCCAUUGGGUCCCAUUGAGUCCCAUUGAGUCCCAUUGAGUCCCAUUGAGUCCCAUUGGGUCCCAUUGAAUCCCAUUGAGUCCCAUUGAAUCCCAUUGGGCCCCAUUGAGUCCCAUUGAGUCCCAUUGAAUCCCAUUGGGUCCCAUUGAAUCCCAUUGAAUCCCAUUGAGUCCCAUUGAAUCCCAUUGAGUCCCAUUGAAUCCCAUUGAGCCCCAUUGAGCCCCAUUGAGUCCCAUGGAGUCCCAUUGAGUCCCAUUGAAUCCCAUUGAAUCCCAUUGGUUCCCAUUGAGUCCCAUUGAGUCCCAUUGAAUCCCAUUGAAUCCCAUUGAAUCCCAUUGAGUCCCAUUGAAUCCCAUUGAAUCCCAUUGAAUCCCAUUGAAUCCCAUUGGGUCCCAUUGAAUCCCAUUGAGUCCCAUUGAGUCCCAUUGGGUCCCAAUGAGUCCCAUUGAAUCCCACUGUUUCCCAUUGAGUCUCAUUGAAUCCCAUUCGGUCCCAUUGAAUCCCAUUGACUCCCAUUCAGUCCCAUUGGUUCCCAUUGGUUCCCAUUGAAUCCCAUUGAAUCCCAUUGAAUCCCAUUGAAUCCCAUUGAAUCCCAUUGAGCCCCAUUGAGCCCCAUUGAGUCCCAUGGAGUCCCAUUGGGUCCCAUUGAGUCCCAUGGAGUCCCAUUGGGUCCCAUUGAAUCCCAUUGAGUCCCAUUGAAUCCCAUUGACUCCCAUUGAGUCCCAUUGAACCCCAUUGAAUCCCAUUGAGUCCCCCAUAACCCCCCCCCUUAAAAAAGCUCCUUUUUAUGCCCCCCCCCCAAACUCUGACCCCCCCCAAAUCUCUUUCCAGGACGCCCCCCCCCGAUUUGGAGCGGGGGGGGCACAGAGCGCCCCUCGGAUCCAAUGGGGGCUUUUGGGGGGGGGCCCCCCCGCCUCCCCCCCCCCCUAUGAACUGCAUGGGCUGUACCCCUCCAUCCGCACUCAGGACGAUUUGGCGCUGA